GUUUGUACUCCACAUCAGCCCCAAUCGAACAGUAGGGGAAACGUACUUUCUCCUCAAAAUGACGCCCAGUAAGAUAGCGGCCAGAUCCCGGACAAGUAUUUGCCUGGAUUCUUGAGACAGUACGUCUUCAUGCACUCCUGGAAGGAUUCUCCCGGGAUUCUCCGCAGCUCCAUCAUCGAGGCCCUCUUGAUGGCUUCCACAUCAGAAAACAAGUCACCUUGAGCUUAGGGAAAAGAUGAAAAUCACACAGAGGCACGACGGGGAUUCUGAGAAAACCUCCUCGGUGUGGCACAGAUAUUUGUCAAGGACACUUCUUCGUUUAUUCCUGUAAUUCAACAGACGCAGUCUCACAUUUUCAUUUGUGUCAUCAAAUAAAAAUAGAGACACUGUAAAAAUAUUAAAAUACAUAC